rnacentral:rRNA from 1 species
GACGAACGCUGGCGGCGUGCCUAAUACAUGCAAGUAGAACGCACAGUUUAUACCGUAGCUUGCUACACCAUAGACUGUGAGUUGCGAACGGGUGAGUAACGCGUAGGUAACCUGCCUGGUAGCGGGGGAUAACUAUUGGAAACGAUAGCUAAUACCGCAUAAUAUUAAUUAUUGCAUGAUAAUUAAUUGAAAGGUGCAAUUGCACCACUACCAGAUGGACCUGCGUUGUAUUAGCUAGUAGGUGAGGUAACGGCUCACCUAGGCGACGAUACAUAGCCGACCUGAGAGGGUGAUCGGCCACACUGGGACUGGGACACGGCCCAGACUCCUACGGGAGGCAGCAGUAGGGAAUCUUCGGCAAUGGACGAAAGUCUGACCGAGCAACGCCGCGGGAGUGAAGAAGGGUUUCGGAUCGUAAAGCUCUGUUGUAAGAGAAGAACGGGUGUGAGAGUGGAAAGUUCACACUGUGACGGUAUCUUACCAGAAAGGGACGGCUAACUACGUG